rnacentral:miRNA from 1 species
UUUGACAAAGACAGAAGGAGCU